rnacentral:rRNA from 1 species
CCCUUAGAUGUUCUGGGCUGCACGCGCGCUACACUGAUGCGAUCAACGAGUAUCUCACCUUCUCCGAUAGGAGCGGGUAAUCUUUUGAAAUCGCAUCGUGAUGGGGAUAGAUUAUUGCAAUUAUUAAUCUUCAACGAGGAAUUCCUAGUAAGUGCGAAUCAUCAGUUCGCGCUGAUUACGUCCCUGCCCUUUGUACACACCGCCCGUCGCUCCUACCGAUUGGUCGUUCCGGUGAAUUAUUCGGACUGUAACGUGUUCAGUUCCUGGAUGCAGUUAUGGGAAGUUUUGUGAACCUUACCACUUAGAGGAAGGAGAAGUCGUAACA